UACGAAGGGAGCUAGCGUUGUUCGGAAUUACUGGGCGUAAAGGGCGCGUAGGCGGUUUUGUAAGUCAGAUGUGAAAGCCCCGGGCUUAACCUGGGAGGUGCAUUUGAAACUGCAAGGCUUGAGAUCGAGAGAGGAAAGUGGAAUUACGAGUGUAGAGGUGAAAUUCGUAGAUAUUCGUAAGAACACCAGUGGCGAAGGCGACUUUCUGGCUCGAUACUGACGCUAAGGCGCGAAAGCGUGGGGAGCAAACAGG
rnacentral:rRNA from 1 species